GACGAACGCUGGCGGCGUGCUUAACACAUGCAAGUCGAACGGAAAGGCCCUGCUUUUGUGGGGUGCUCGAGUGGCGAACGGGUGAGUAACACGUGAGUAACCUGCCCUUGACUUUGGGAUAACUUCAGGAAACUGGGGCUAAUACCGGAUAGGAGCUCCUGCUGCAUGGUGGGGGUUGGAAAGUUUCGGCGGUUGGGGAUGGACUCGCGGCUUAUCAGCUUGUUGGUGGGGUAGUGGCUUACCAAGGCUUUGACGGGUAGCCGGCCUGAGAGGGUGACCGGCCACAUUGGGACUGAGAUACGGCCCAGACUCCUACGGGAGGCAGCAGUGGGGAAUAUUGCACAAUGGGCGGAAGCCUGAUGCAGCAACGCCGCGUGCGGGAUGACGGCCCUCGGGUUGUAAACCGCUUUCGCCUGUGACGAAGCGUGAGUGACGGUAAUGGGUAAAGAAGCACCGGCUAACUACGUGCCAGCAGCCGCGGUGAUACGUAGGGUGCGAGCGUUGUCCGGAUUUAUUGGGCGUAAAGGGCUCGUAGGUGGUUGAUCGCGUCGGAAGUGUAAUCUUGGGGCUUAACCCUGAGCGUGCUUUCGAUACGGGUUGACUUGAGGAAGGUAGGGGAGAAUGGAAUUCCUGGUGGAGCGGUGGAAUGCGCAGAUAUCAGGAGGAACACCAGUGGCGAAGGCGGUUCUCUGGGCCUUUCCUGACGCUGAGGAGCGAAAGCGUGGGGAGCGAACAGGCUUAGAUACCCUGGUAGUCCACGCUGUAAACGGUGGGUACUAGGUGUGGGGUCCAUUCCACGGGUUCCGUGCCGUAGCUAACGCUUUAAGUACCCCGCCUGGGGAAUACGGCCGCAAGGCUAAAACUCAAAGGAAUUGACGGGGCCCCGCACAAGCGGCGGAGCAUGCGGAUUAAUUCGAUGCAACGCGUAGAACCUUACCUGGGUUUGACAUGGAUCGGGAGUGCUCAGAGAUGGGUGUGCCUCUUUUGGGGUCGGUUCACAGGUGGUGCAUGGCUGUCGUCAGCUCGUGUCGUGAGAUGUUGGGUUAAGUCCCGCAACGAGCGCAACCCUUGUUCACUGUUGCCAGCACGUUAUGGUGGGGACUCAGUGGAGACCGCCGGGGUCAACUCGGAGGAAGGUGGGGAUGACGUCAAGUCAUCAUGCCCCUUAUGUCCAGGGCUUCACGCAUGCUACAAUGGCUGGUACAGAGAGUGGCGAGCCUGUGAGGGUGAGCGAGUCUCGGAAAGCCGGUCUCAGUUCGGAUUGGGGUCUGCAACUCGACCUCAUGAAGUCGGAGUCGCUAGUAAUCGCAGAUCAGCAACGCUGCGGUGAAUACGUUCCCGGG
rnacentral:rRNA from 1 species